UCAGUUAUAAUAAUUAAAAAUAAAUAAAAGGCAGAGAAAAUGUGCGCCUUGGCAUACAGUUAUGCGGGUCCUGUGCGACGGAGCGCCGCGAACCAUGUCAGGCGGGGAACCGAGCAGCAUUAAGCGGUUAUAUCUGUGUGCCGCAGAUAAGCCUGCGUAACUGUAUGUGAGGGCGCAGGCUUUCUCUGCUUUUUGGCUGU
rnacentral:SRP_RNA from 1 species